rnacentral:rRNA from 1 species
AAGACUUAGUGGCGGACGGGUGAGUAAUGCAUGAGCAACCUGCCUUCAGGAGGGGGAUAACAUCGGGAAACCGGUGCUAAUACCGCAUAGAGCAUUUUGCAGGCAUCUGCGAGAUGGGAAAGGAGCAAUCCGCCUGGAGAUGGGCUCAUGUCUGAUUAGAUAGUUGGUAGGGUAACGGCCUACCAAGUCUGCGAUCAGUAGCCGGACUGAGAGGUCGAACGGCCACAUUGGAACUGAGAUACGGUCCAGACUCC